rnacentral:rRNA from 1 species
AGAAUGAACGCUGGCGGCGUGCUUUACACAUGCAAGUCGAGCGAGGCGGGGAGCAAUCCCCAGUCGAGCGGCGAACGGGUGAGUAACGCGUGGAUGACCUGCCCUUCAGCGGGGAAUAACCCGGGGAAACUCGGGCUAAUACCGCAUACGACCGAGAGGUGAAAGGGGGCCGCAGGGCUCUCACUGAAGGAGGGGUCCGCGUCCGAUUAGCUAGUUGGUAGGGUAAUGGCCUACCAAGGCGACGAUCGGUA